UACGGAGGAUCCAAGCGUUAUCCGGAAUUAUUGGGCGUAGAGAGCUCGUAGGCGGUUUGUCACGUCUGGUGUGAAAUCCCAUGGCUCAACUGUGGGCUUGCAUCGGGUACGGGCAGACUAGAGUGCUGUAGGGGAGACUGGAAUUCCUGGUGUAGCGGUGGAAUGCGCAGAUAUCAGGAGGAACACCGAUGGCGAAGGCAGGUCUCUGGGAGUAUCCUGACGCUGAGGAGCGAAAGCGUGGGGAGCAAACAGG
rnacentral:rRNA from 1 species